rnacentral:tRNA from 1 species
UGGUGGAGCCUAGCGGGAUCGAACCGCUGACCUCAACACUGCCAGUGUUGCGCUCUCCCAGCUGAGCUAAGGCCCC